UACGUAGGUGGCAAGCGUUGUCCGGAAUUACUGGGUGUAAAGGGAGCGCAGGCGGGGAAGCAAGUCGGCUGUGAAAUGCAUAGGCUUAACCUAUGAAUUGCAGUUGAAACUGUUUUUCUUGAGUGGAGUAGAGGUAGGCGGAAUUCCGAGUGUAGCGGUGAAAUGUGUAGAUAUUCGGAGGAACACCAGUGGCGAAGGCGGCCUACUGGGCUCUAACUGACGCUGAGGCUCGAAAGCGUGGGGAGCGAACGGGAUUAGAUACCCCGGUAGUCCCUGA
rnacentral:rRNA from 1 species